rnacentral:rRNA from 1 species
UACGAAGGGGGCUAGCGUUGCUCGGAAUCACUGGGCGUAAAGGGUGCGUAGGCGGGGCUUUAAGUCAGGGGUGAAAUCCUGGAGCUCAACUCCAGAACUGCCUUUGAUACUGGAGAGCUUGAGUCCGGGAGAGGUGAGUGGAACUCCGAGUGUAGAGGUGAAAUUCGUAGAUAUUCGGAAGAACACCAGUGGCGAAGGCGGCUCACUGGCCCGGUACUGACGCUGAGGUGCGAAAGCGUGGGGAGCAAACAGG